UACGUAGGGUGCAAGCGUUGUCCGGAAUUAUUGGGCGUAAAGAGCUCGUAGGCGGUUUGUCGCGUCGGCUGUGAAAACUCGGGGCUCAACCCCGAGCCUGCAGUCGAUACGGGCAGACUAGAGUGCUGUAGGGGAGACUGGAAUUCCUGGUGUAGCGGUGGAAUGCGCAGAUAUCAGGAGGAACACCGGUGGCGAAGGCGGGUCUCUGGGCCGAUACUGACGCUGAGGAGCGAAAGCGUGGGGAGCGAACAGG
rnacentral:rRNA from 1 species